CAAGGACAAGAUGGCACCGGAAAUGUGAAAAUUGCCAAAGAGCACGAAACCUUUAAUUGAAAAGUUGUGUG
ensembl:ncRNA C54A12.6 ncRNA